UACGUAGGUGGCAAGCGUUGUCCGGAUUUACUGGGCGUAAAGAGCGCGCAGGCGGUCGUUCAAGUCGCGUGUGAAAGCCCCCGGCUCAACUGGGGAGGGUCACGCGAUACUGAUCGACUGGAAGGCAGGAGAGGGUAGUGGAAUUCCCGGUGUAGUGGUGAAAUGCGUAGAUAUCGGGAGGAACACCAGUGGCGGAAGGCGGCUCUCUAGUACGGUACUGACGC
rnacentral:rRNA from 1 species